rnacentral:rRNA from 1 species
UACGUAGGGGGCAAGCGUUGUCCGGAUUUAUUGGGCGUAAAGAGCGUGUAGGCGGCCAGAUAAGUCCGCUGUGAAAUCUCGAGGCUCAACUUCGAGCUGUCGGUGGAAACUGUCUGGCUAGAGUCCGGAAGAGGAGAAUGGGAUUCCUGGUGUAGCGGUGAAAUGCGCAGAUAUCAGGAAGAACACCCGUGGCGAAGGCGGUUCUCUGGGACGGUACUGACGCUGAGACGCGAAAGCGUGGGGAGCGAACAGG